GUGAACACCAGGCGGAAGGUUGAUUGGCUCACUGAUAAGAUGCGCAGCCGCGAUCACACAGUAUCUGCAACUCAUGGAGACAUGGACCAGAACACUAGAGAUAUCAUUAUGCGAGAGUUCCGAUCUGGGUCAUCUCGUGUGCUCAUCACUACUGAUCUUCUGGCACGUGGUAUUGAUGUGCAGCAAGUAUCCCUUGUGAUUAACUAUGACCUACCUACUCAGCCAGAAAACUACCUGCAUCGUAUUGGACGUAGUGGACGAUUCGGAAGGAAGGGUGUGGCUAUCAAUUUUGUCACAAAGGAUGAUGAAAGGAU
rnacentral:lncRNA from 1 species